GGAGAGGUGCCUGAGAGGCCGAAAGGAGCGGAUUGCUAAUCCGUUGAGGCGUUAAACCCUCCGCAGGUUCGAAUCCUGUCCUCUCCG
rnacentral:tRNA from 1 species